rnacentral:rRNA from 1 species
UUCUGUAAGCCUGUGAAGGUGAGUUGAGAAGCUUGCUGGAGGUAUCAGAAGUGCGAAUGCUGACAUGAGUAACGACAAUGGGUGUGAAAAACACCCACGCCGAAAGACCAAGGGUUCCUGCGCAACGUUAAUCGACGCAGGGUUAGUCGGUUCCUAAGGCGAGGCUGAAAAGCGUAGUCGAUGGGAAACAGGUUAAUAUUCCUGUACUUCUGGUUACUGCGAUGGAGGGACGGAGAAGGCUAGGCCAGCUUGGCGUUGGUUGUCCAAGUUUAAGGUGGUAGGCUGAAAUCUUAGGUAAAUCCGGGGUUUCAAGGCCGAGAGCUGAUGACGAGUCGUCUUUUAGAUGACGAAGUGGUUGAUGCCAUGCUUCCAAGAAAAGCUUCUAAGCUUCAGGUAACCAGGAACCGUACCCCAAACCGACACAGGUGGUCGGGUAGAGAAUACCAAGGCGCUUGAGAGAACUCGGGUGAAGGAACUAGGCAAAAUGGCACCGUAACUUCGGGAGAAGGUGCGCCGGCUAGGGUGAAGGAUUUACUCCGUAAGCUCUGGCUGGUCGAAGAUACCAGGCCGCUGCGACUGUUUAUUAAAAACACAGCACUCUGCAAACACGAAAGUGGACGUAUAGGGUGUGACGCCUGCCCGGUGCCGGAAGGUUAAUUGAUGGGGUUAGCGCAAGCGAAGCUCUUGAUCGAAGCCCCGGUAAACGGCGGCCGUAACUAUAACGGUCCUAAGGUAGCGAAAUUCCUUGUCGGGUAAGUUCCGACCUGCACGAAUGGCGUAACGAUGGCGGCGCUGUCUCCACCCGAGACUCAGUGAAAUUGAAAUCGCUGUGAAGAUGCAGUGUAUCCGCGGCUAGACGGAGAGACCCCGUGAACCUUUACUGUAGCUUUGCACUGGACUUUGAGCCUGCUUGUGUAGGAUAGGUGGGAGGCUUUGAAGCGUGGACGCCAGUUCGCGUGGAGCCAUCCUUGAAAUACCACCCUGGCAUGCUUGAGGUUCUAACUCUGGUCCGUAAUCCGGAUCGAGGACAGUGUAUGGUGGGCAGUUUGACUGGGGCGGUCUCCUCCUAAAGAGUAACGGAGGAGUACGAAGGUGCGCUCAGACCGGUCGGAAAUCGGUCGCAGAGUAUAAAGGCAAAAGCGCGCUUGACUGCGAGACAGACACGUCGAGCAGGUACGAAAGUAGGUCUUAGUGAUCCGGUGGUUCUGUAUGGAAGGGCCAUCGCUCAACGGAUAAAAGGUACUCCGGGGAUAACAGGCUGAUACCGCCCAAGAGUUCAUAUCGACGGCGGUGUUUGGCACCUCGAUGUCGGCUCAUCACAUCCUGGGGCUGAAGCCGGUCCCAAGGGUAUGGCUGUUCGCCAUUUAAAGUGGUACGCGAGCUGGGUUUAGAACGUCGUGAGACAGUUCGGUCCCUAUCUGCCGUGGACGUUUGAGAUUUGAGAGGGGCUGCUCCUAGUACGAGAGGACCGGAGUGGACGAACCUCUGGUGUUCCGGUUGUCACGCCAGUGGCAUUGCCGGGUAGCUAUGUUCGGAAAAGAUAACCGCUGAAAGCAUCUAAGCGGGAAACUUGCCUCAAGAUGAGAUCUCACUGGGAACUUGAUUCCCCUGAAGGGCCGUCGAAGACUACGACGUUGAUAGGCUGGGUGUGUAAGCGUUGUGAGGCGUUGAGCUAACCAGUACUAAUUGCCCGUGAGGCUUGACCAU